CCAAGGCAAUGAUGCAUAGCCCGAGUUGAGAGACUGAUCGGGCCACAUUGGGGACUGAGACACGGGCCCAAAACUCCUACGGGGAGGCAGCAGUAGGGAAUCUUCCACAAUGGACGCAAGUCUGAUGGAGCAACGCCGCGUGAGUGAAGAAGGGUUUCGGCUCGUAAAAGCUCUGUUGGUAGUGAAGAAAGAUAGAGGUAGUAACUGGUCCUUUAUUUGACGGUUAAUUACUUAGAAGUCACGGCUAACUACGUGCCAGCAGCCGCGGAAU
rnacentral:rRNA from 1 species